GUCCGCAGUAAAGUUACAAUUGAGUAAAUGUAAUUAAUUUUUUAAAAAGACUUUUUUCUUAUAAAUAAAAGAGAACUUAUUUUCAAAUUUAUGUUAUGUAAAAGUAGGUAUGAAAUAGGAAUUUACUAUUGUGUGUAAAGUAAAACCGUAUCAAAAAUAUUCAAUUUGUAACCGAGCAUAGAGAAAGUCUGGAAUUCAGAGCAUAGAGAAAGUCUGGAAUUCAGGGUUAACUAGAGUGAAAAUAUACAUUGGGAGAUUCAGAAAAAGUAGACUAUUUGGAAG